GUCGUCAGUCCACCUCUAGGAACCAUUUGCAAAGAAAAAAAAAGUUUAUGUAGCAUCUUGUUUUGUUGUCAAUCAGUAUCGAUAAUCAGUAUGUAAAUCAAUAAGUGAAUCGAGAAAUUUUUAAUUAAAUCGAUGACACCGUUUUGAGAUUCAUAAUUGCAAAAUCAACGCGGUAUAUCUGAGGUAGCUUUUGUUUUUAAGGAAUUAUGACGGAAUGUCGAGUCAUUCAAAUCUGUGAUUGAGUAAUUAAGAGAAUUUAAAAACAAGUGCCCAUCAUAUGACGCAAAGAUGGCAUUUCCUAUUAUGAAACUCGUAAUUGUUUGAAGAAAUCGGUUUUAGCGUUUAAAUUACUUUUAUGGAGACGAACUGCUUUUGUAUCAAGUCGGCUUUAUGGAUGUACUGAAACGACUUCAAUUUGUACCAAAACGACUGUGGAGGUUAAAUGCUAUUCAACAUCCAUGACCGGAGUCGACAACUGAACUCGGCGAUGCUUCGCUUCAAGUUCUACUGGAGCCAUUUCGAUGAUCCAAGUCGUUUGAGUACUACAUCCAUGAAGACGAUUAGGUACAGCUCACAGUUCGCCAGGGUCAAGUCAUUUAAGUUGCAUUAUGAAACAGAAAAAAAGCAUAGUAUCUCUUCAUUUAUGUAGAGCCAUUGAUAGAUCUUAUAGCAGAGAAUUAAAAAUGUUCCUCAGUAAAGCUCCAUUUGUUACGUGGUCUAUUACUACGAACGUAUUUUGAAUUUUGAAAUUAAUUGAACUCUGGAGUAAGCGUUGUCGACAGUCGGUUUUUACGAACCAUUUGGCCAAUACUUUAAUUACUAUCAGUACUUUUUAUUGUUUGUUAGUCAAUGAGUAAAUUAGGAUAGCGAAUGCAGUCAAUUAAAUACAAUAGCCUAGGUAUCUAAUUCUUGUUUGCUAAAUGAACACGGUAGGUUAAGAUGUCAUUAUUAUAGCUGAUUCACGUAAAUUGUUAUGAAUAAUGAAAGUAAUAUCUAAAUUAAGAAGCAAAUAAAGUAAUGGGAAACUGAAUUUUGGCGUCUGGUUCGUUAAGUUUUUAUGCCUAUAACGAUGCAAUGUGACGCUUUUGAUUCUUAAAAAAAAUCGUAGAUAUUUGAAUAAAUCUGUUUUAGUGUUUAAAUUGUUAGUGUAGCUGUAUCAAAUUGACUUUGAGGAUUUACUGAAACGACUACGGAGGAAUUACUUCGAUGUCAAAGGGAGCAAACUGGCGUCGACAGUUGAACUGUGUCUGUCUCUCAGCGGGCAUUACGAACAACUGAUGACGUCCACGACUACACUGUUCGUAGUCUCGAUUUCCUUAAGACAAUCGUGUGGCCACUCGACUCCUUAUUGGUAACGAAUUUGUAUAUACCACUUUUUUGACCUGAUAACAGUGUAACUAUACAGCGUAACUAUACAUAUGAAUAAUGAAAGCUAGUAUAGUUAUUUGUACAUUAGUCUAAUUCUUAGUAAUGGAGGCCAGUGUAUCACGAUAAUGAACACUUGAUCUGCUGCAAGAAUUCUCGAAGCCUUUUGGAUGGAGUCUGUCAUUUUAGUCUCCUUCAUUCCAGCCAAAUGUUGGUUUUGUCAAAAGAUUUCUUGAAUAGAAAAAUGGAGUCAAAUAUUGAAUUAAUCUUAAGUGGUAUUGCUUAUGUGAUUUAUGGGUCUAAUUCACGGGUAAGGAAUUAUUGCAAUGAAAAUGUAAUCAGUUGAGAACUUACAAGGUGUAUGUUAGUCAUGUACAGAAGUCAGAUUUCUAAGUGUUUCAAUUGUAUUAGGAAUUUUUUUUCAAGUUGAUGUAAUAGAUAAACACAUUUUUUCACUUCGUUAUAGAUAUCUGGACAAAAUACUUCCACAACAAACGACCUAUUGGUAUUGCUGGUAUAAAACUCUCCUAGCUUUUAAAAUAGUACGCCAUGAUCAAAUGUUGACAAUCUGAUUGUUAGGACUGUUGGUCAAAAACAAGAGUGAUGCCCUUUACGAGGUAAAAAAAGAGGUCUGUGGGGUCAUAUAACAUUAACAUUCAAGCCUUACAAUUUUGGGAAAAUACUUUUCAUCAUUUGCAGUCAAUACUGAAAGAUUGCUUUCAUUUCAGCAAUUUGCAACUUUUGCCUAAAGCAUCUUGGUACUAUGGAAUUUUAAAGUUCUGACUAGCUUAAGUUUCCUCUGUAAUUCUCAAAUGGUUAUUGGUCAAUUCUAUGUUAUUUUAUUAUAGGAAAUGGCUUGUUUUUUAAAGAGUACUUUGAGGUUAACUGAGCCAACCAGAGGAGUGUUUGGAUUAUGACAAACUAGAGAGAGGUAGGACAAUGUUAGUAGUACUGAAAAAUCUUGCCAAAUUAAGGAUAAUGUUGAAAUGGUUUUAGAAACAUUAUAGCCAGGCUCAAGUAAUAAUAAUA